rnacentral:rRNA from 1 species
GAUGAACGCUGGCGGCGUGCCUAAUACAUGCAAGUCGAGCGAAGCGGGGACGGGUGAGUAACACGUGGAUAACCUGCUCUAAGACUUGGAUAAAUUACGGAACACGGAGCUAAACCGGAACCUUAUAGCAGGAUGCGAGCUGCAUUAGCUAGUGGGUAAGGUAACGGCUUACCAAGGCAACGAUGCAUAGCCGACAUGAGAGUGUGAUCGGCCACACUGGAACUGAGACACGGUCCAGACUCCGACGGGAGGCAGCAGGAGGGAAUCUGGCGCAAUGGGCGAAAGCCUGACUGAGCAACGCCGCGUGAGUGAUGAAGGUCUUAGGAUCGUAAAACACUGUUAUCAGGGAAGCGGUACCUAAGCAGAAAGCCACGGCUAACUACGUGCCAGCAGCCGCGGUAAUAC